GCCUCGGUAGCUUAGCUUGGUUUGAGCGGCUGAUUUGUAAUCAGCAGGUCGAGGGUUCAAAUCCCUCCCGGGGCU
rnacentral:tRNA from 2 species